CGGAGGAUCCAAGCGUUAUCCGGAAUCAUUGGGUUUAAAGGGUCCGUAGGCGGGUUUAUAAGUCAGUGGUGAAAGCCCAUCGCUCAACGAUGGAACGGCCAUUGAUACUGUAGAUCUUGAAUUAUUAGGAAGUAACUAGAAUAUGUAGUGUAGCGGUGAAAUGCUUAGAGAUUACAUGGAAUACCAAUUGCGAAGGCAGGUUACUACUAAUGGAUUGACGCUGAUGGACGAAAGCGUGGGUAGCGAACAGGAUUAGAUACCCUGGUAGUCCACGCCGUAAACGAUGGAUACUAGCUGUUCGGAGCAAUCUGAGUGGCUAAGCGAAAGUGAUAAGUAUCCCACUGGGGAUACGUUCGCAGGAACG
rnacentral:rRNA from 1 species